rnacentral:lncRNA from 1 species
AUGGAGGCACAGUCUCUGAAGGAGGGGGGAGGGAUGGAGGAGGAUAAGGAGGCUGAGCCAGGUCUCUGGAUGGGUAUUGGGAUUAGGCAUUGUAAAGGAUGGAUGGAGCAGGCUGCACGCAGCUGUGUGUCCUCAGAGAGGGCAGACUCUUUCCAUCCCCAGCAUGGCAGAAAACACACGAUGGAAAAAGUCUUGAAAGAGAGGAAGGAAGGGAUCUGGUUUGGAUCAUUGCUGUGGCGAUGUCUGCAGAAUAAGGUGUUUAUUUUGGAAAGGGCUCUGUUUACAUGUCUGUUUUUAUGCGACACCCACAUAUGGAGAUGUUUGCUUUGCCGGGACCUCACAUUCCUCCCCGCACACACAACACACACGUCCCAGCUGGGACAAGUGGGGGGUCCCUUCGCUCCCAGGUCCCCACCAGCCAGCCCCCGUCCCUCCCUCGGGCAGCUGGGACAAAGCACGGUCACGCUGCAAAAUGUUUCCAGCCAAAGAGUGUCCAAAGUCUCUCAAAGUGCAGUCCCCACCACCCUGCAUGUCAGUGGACGGAUGUUAUGUCCCUCACAUUUAAGGCACCUCGGUCACAGCGCUGCAGAAGCCCCUUCUUCCUCUCCUGGCCCACGGUCACCCUCUCAUGGUGGCCACAGGUCAGCCAGAGCAUCCCCUCACGUUGGAGCUGCACGAGCACAGAUCCCACUGCAAUUCUUCCUCAUCUCCAUGCUGAGGUGUUGGACAAGCAGGUGAGCUGACUUCCUCUUCUGAGCAACUUCUGCCUGUUGUUGGCGGCACCACCAUUCAGCUGGCGGCUGCCAGGCAUGUCUGAGGAGAAAUUCAUGUUUUUGUGGCCUCUUGCCCUACGUGUGGUCCCUCUCUGACACAGUGCCACCAUCC